CAGUGGGUUUUUGGCCUCUUCCUGUACUGUAUAUUAUUCAUUUUUGUUAUGUUGUAUAGUCUUAAAUUGUGCAAAAUAAAAAAAUAAACAAAUAAACAAUGAACCACAAGUCUAACCACGAUAUGACAUUAUUAUAAGUGAUGUACAUGUACACUUAAUGUUAGGCAAUCCUUUGUCAGGGGAUGAUUCAUAUUCACUUCUGUUCUCAGUGUUUUGUUGCCUGCACCUCUCCGACAUUAUUAUUAUCACAUAUAAAUCAUGUUAUUCCUCCACUGCGCUAGAUGCUGCUGCAGGCUGCAGCUGCUGUCACCAAACCGGGCAGCUUCUUGCAGGAAAACAGCAGGGCAUGAAAUGCGACCCGCCCGUUGUAUUUCUAUCUGUUAUUGUGAUGUUUAACUGCGCUUUACAGCUGAAUUAACUCUCGAUACAUGCGCAUCUUCUUAUUAGGAAUGAAAACGGUAUGUACAAUCUUUUGUUUGUGCGCCUUUACGAGCAUCGAAUAAGCUCAUUGUUCAGGUUGCAGCCAGGCCCAGGAGGCUGCUGCACAAUACAGCUCAUCUGUUGUCAAGGUGGAUUUCUUGGUUUUGCAUGUUACGGUUUGGUCAGUUCAUCAACCAUAAAACAGAUGUCCUUAUGAUGUGUCAAAGAAUGCACCAUGUUGGAUAAAAGCAGUGAUAAAGACCAACAGACUGCUCACUGCUGCUCAGACUGUGGAUGCAUCCUGCCACAGCCUGACUCUGAUUCAGCCCCUCCUAAACAGCAGCGUGUACACAAAGCGGCCGGUCCUUCCAAGUGUCCAUCCUGCCAGGCGGGCACCAGCAGCCUCUCCAACGGGCGGCGCCACCGGCCCCACCGCCGCAUCCGCCUGGACCCUCACAGCUGCAGCAAAAGACUGGAAGAAAUUGCAGUUGGCAUGGGUUUGAUGCAGAAUGUCAGAGCCUCGCUUAGAGUGCCAUAAGGUCGGAUGUGAAAAUUGUUGCAUGUACCGUAUGAAGGUCUAAUAUGCUCAUAACACCUUGACCUCCCACCUUAUCACAUUGACUUUUUAAAGAUUCACUUCACUUGUUUGUUGCUUCUUUUUUCUAUGUGCACAUCCCUUCAGAAUCAGGCUCCAGCCUGCUGUAAGUAUGUACAGGUUUUGUGUAAAUUAUUAAUAGACGGAGGAGACGACAGGAAGCUUAACACAAAGACUGAAUCUGGUAUAUAUGUGUGAACUUCUCCCUCACAGACAGAAAUUAUUUGAAACUCGUGUGUGGACAUUGGGAGGAGACAUGAAAAGCUUUUUUUGUAUAGUAUGAAAGAACAGUGGGAGCUGGCCACUUCCAGGACGAGGGCGAAGCACACUCUGAGCACAAGGAGAAGACCGUUACGCUCCGGUGACCGCUGAGACGUCACAUCCUCCAGAGCAAACUUUUGUUGUUAACAUAUGGAAAGAUACAUUUGUCUGAUAUAUGGUUAGUUGUCAUUAUUUUCAUAACAUGAUUUCUUAAUGAAUAAAAAAGUGCUUUUAACUUGAAA